rnacentral:lncRNA from 1 species
AGACCAGAAACGGAAAGGUAUAUCUGAUAAGGUAAGAAUAAAUGAGCAAUUAUGCUCAAAUAUCACUCAUACAUAUUACAGUCGUUGUUUGCAAAUGAAACUAGUUUAUGUAAGCUUCGCAUAACACUUUUUUUUUUUUUUUUUAAACAUGACAGUGUUAAUGUUAAACAAUAUUAUAUAAACAAAUAUGGACAAAACAUCUUACUUUACUUUGCAGGUAUUGAAAGAAUACCUCGACAAUGUCCAGCUGGGCCAGAUUCUGGAUCGUGAAGGUGGCUGGGACAGUGUUCAAGAUUGGAUGGAUGUUCUCAGUGGAGGAGAAAAGCAGAGAAUGGCAGUAUGUUUUUUUUUUUUUUUUUCCUCUGUCUGUGUGUGUGUAUAUACAUAUGUUUUGUAGUUUGAAUUUCAGUGUACACAGAGGAAUCUAACAUAUAAUACGUUAUUGGUUUGGUUUUGCUAUGUUGCUCUUGUCCUUGCAUGACCUUUGAUUUCAUAUGAGUGUCUGACGCUCUUUUAAUAAUCAGGGUAUAAUUUAAAAUAUAUAGGAUUAAUACACAAUAUUUUAUUUUAAAAAUUUGGAUGCGUGAUCAUGUUUUUCCUGACAAUCAUGCUUGUGAUAUUUCAUUACUGUUCCUGACAGUGCCUUUUGGGUGAAUGGCUCCUUGUUGAGCAUGGUUUGGGAGGAGGGCAUAUAUAUUUGUGGGUCUGUUAACUUACUCAUUGGUGGCCAUAUUGAGGCAAAAGUCAAUUUGUUGAAACAUGUACUGGGAAGUUUGCAAGCACAAUGCAUAGAAUACAUUUCCACACCUAUAAUGUGAAGCUAACUAUGUAUUCCGUCCCAUUUGUGGGGGACUGAUGUGCUUCAUAAGCAAUAACAUAUAGAACUAUCGUAGUAAAAUUGUACAUUUUAGAAAUAUCGCUUUGCAGUAUGUCGCAGUAAAACUUGUUAAUAUUGGCGUUAUUAGUAUAAUUCUGAAUGACUUCUCAGUUUCUACUUCAUGUCAAUAUGACUUACAAUGUUCCAGAUGUGUGUACAUUUUAAUACCAGUUAAUCUUAAAAACGAACACUCCAACUGAUAAAAAAAAAAAUUAUAAUUAUAACAUUUUAGUAGAUCUACCCCAAUGACAAAAUUAAUGCAUUUAAUUAUGCAUUUUUUUAAUAUCUAAAAACUGCUUGCAAAGUUGCAGAUCUCUUGUCUGCUGCCUUUGCAAUCCUUCCCCUUCAAGCCCAGACUUUCUGUGGCUGUCCAAUCACAGACUUCCCAAUGCAGCUCAUGAGGAGUUUUUGCAAAGCAGGUGCUCUGGGAAAUUGCCUACCUCUUGAGAUUUGCUAUACUGACCUAAACAACCAGGAAGUAAAAGGACCAUUGAUUAUGGUUAUUAGCCAUGGUUAAUUUAGAAAAGUGCGAAUUUCUAGGGGAAUCUGCAAUUUUUUUUUUUUUAAAUGAGCUAAACAAACCAGCAUGUAACAGGACCGGUUGUCUGAUCGACUGCUUUAGGGAUGUAACCAGGUUAAUUUAUAAAGGUUUACAUUUCUAUUGAAAUCUUCACUUUUUCAAAAUGGGAAAAAAAGAGGACACACUCUAAACACAUAAAGCACUUCUGUAGGCUGAAGUGCGUCAGGGGUCUGGAGUGAUAAAGUUAUUCAUUGGGAUGUAUAUAUGAAGUACAAGUUGUUACAAUUGGCUAAUUGUAGCAAUGCAAGUUCUCAAUGCCACAGUUAAUUGAACAAAGUUGCAAAUGACUAUAUUUGCUGUUCCAGAUGGCAAGAUUGUUUUACCACAAGCCACAGUUCGCAAUUUUGGACGAAUGCACAAGUGCUGUUAGUGUGGACGUAGAAGGGUACAUAUAUGACCAUUGCAGAAAAGUAAGUGCCUCAAACAGAAAAUGCAGCUUUUCAGAAAUUCUUCUCUUAGAAUCUUUCAAAUGUAAUAUUUUGUUUUCCAGUCAUAGAAACUGAUUGUGUGUGUAUUAUUUUCAAUAUCUAUUUUGUUUAUUAUUGUCAUUUAGUAGUUAUCAAAACAAGUCCGUUUUCAUUUGAGCGUUAGACAUGUAACAUAUAAAGAAAUAACAUAUAACAAAUAAAAUAUAAAGAAAUGCCACUGGUGGUAUUGGCAAACUCCCUUUGAUUCCCCUGUCUCACUGCAAUCUGAUACUUGCAUCUUUAGAGAUUUGUACAGUUCAGUGUUGCUUUAAGCCCACAUAAUUCCUUUUUAGUUAAGGCAUAGAGGGGCCAUUCCCCCUGCCUAUACAAGUACUUGUAUGGCAUGUGCACACAUCCAGAACAUGCACAGAAUUCCAAUUUCAAUACAGAAAUAUGAAAGCUUUGCAUUUAAACCUGGAAAUGAGAUGAAGUUGUUGGUAUAGUCGGUGUUUCCAUGGAAACUGGACAAAAUCUGAGUCCUUUUCAUAUGAAUAUGGUUUGCUGAAACAGGCCACAUGUAAAUGAAAGGCCUGCCUGCAUGAAUUUCUUUCUGUUCAAAAACUUCAGUAGAGCGUCUUGAAGUAUUUGCUGAUUUCUCAACCUAUGUGAGGCAACACUUCUUUGGAUGAAAUUCCGAGCAGACCAUGUAACCUUUUUACUAAUUUCAUCAUAAAACCAAUUCCGCUUUUGCAUCAUUAAAGCCACUUCGGCAUGUUUACACUCUGCUUUUGAAUACAGAGAAAAUUAUUUUAAAAGUGCUUUAGGCUUUGAAGCCAGGUCUUAUAACCAUUCAUUUUUCCACUGUUUGCCAACUGUAAACUGCGGUCUUAAAAGUUAACUCAUUAACUGCUGGAUGACCUUGCACUUCAGCUUGUACUUACUUGCAUGUUUAUUAUAGUGCCUUGUGUGUAUACCUACCAUGACUACAAACUUUUUCCAGGUGGGAUUCCUCUUAUGACCUUGUCUACUUAAUUUUUUCUUAUUUUUUCCUUAUUCAUGUAAUGUCAGAGUUUUGAAAACCAGUUCUGCCUUAUGCUAAUGUGUUAAGAAUCUAUAAUGAAAAUGAAACCAUAUAUGGAUUUUUUUUUUUUCCCCCUGGUGGCAGACAUGCUAGUUGUAUCUUAAUUUAUUCCUACCUGUGGAGAAUUACAUUUCUGCAGUUCUACUUUACAGGGGAACUCUCACUUCUGUGGAAAUUAAGUAAUUGUAUGAAACACUAAAAACCAUCUGUAACUUUUGUGUGUGUGUGUGUGUGUGUGUGGCUCCUUUUACUUUUAAAUGUAGAUUAAAGGUUUAGCAAGUGACAUCACAAUCUGAUUCAGUCAAGACACAUGCAGGGUACACAGUGCAGACAUGGGAGAGAAUAGAAACAUUCCGUUUUACCUCUUCUACUAAUUGUGUUCAGAGGUUAAAAAAAGAAUGGGGGGCGCAACAUUUGUAACAGUGAUUGACAGACAAUGAAGUGACAGUUCCCCUUUAACAUUUUCAGGGCCAAUGACUUGGGAUUUGUAUAACCUGGAUUCGGAGUGUUUAAUAUAAAAAAUACAUAGAUAAUUAUUGUCUAUAUUAUAUUGCCCAGCAGAUGGUGCUCUCUGUGCUAUAAAUAUCAGCUUUCACUCUAAUACCAUAUAGUUGAUCUCUUAUGGAAAUUGGGCUUGCUAUUUAGAUUUCGGAAAUGUUUAACAGAAGUUUAAUGACUUUUUGUAAAAGGGACCCACUGAAAUAAGUUGGCUGUCUUCAGUAUUUUAUUUAUUAUUAUUAUUAUUAUUAUUUAUAUAGCGCCAACAAAUUCUGUAGCACUGUACAAUGGGUGGACUAACAGACACAUAAUUGAGAUCAGACCACUGGACGUACAAGAACAGAGGGGGUUGAGGUCUCUGCUCGAUGAGCUUACAUGCUUGAGGGAGUGGGGUAUAGUGACACAAAGGGUUAAAGUAGGGGAAUUACAUAGUUUGUUAGAGAAGGGUUUAUUAAGUGCUUGGUAGGUCAUUUUUGACAGUUACAGGAAAGGAGUCAUGGGGUGGGGGAUGAGAAACCUGCUGACUGUUUAAUUGAUACGCUUUAAUGAAGAAGUGAGUUUUCAAAGAUUUUUUUGAAGGAGUGGAGGCUGGGUGAAAAUCUGAUUGAGGAGGGAAGGGAGUUCUACAGCAUAGGUGCAGCCCUGGAGAAGUCUUAAAGGCGAGCAUCAGAGCAUUGAAAAGCAUUGUGAAUGUCUAGAUAUUCAGAAACCAAGCAGGGCGGGAGAUAUGUCCACACAUGAAUUUGCUCACUUCCAGUGCAUGAGGCAAACUGCAAAGACUUAAAACAUUAAACAGUAAUCCAGUUUAUAUACAGACUAGUAUGCUGAACUGUUGCUUUUUUUUAAACCAAACUAUACGCUUGUCUGACAUUUCUUUGAUGAUGCCUAAGCAAGAAUUGUGGCUGAGGCAUCACAGGGUGGUAAAGUCACCAUAAACACUGAAGGAUAGUUGAAGUAUGUGGGUUUUACUUGCCUCUGCUGCAUUGUCCACCCCAGUAAAUGCUUAAGUAGCAUUUACUGGUGUAAGGGAACAAGGAAAGGACACCUCCAGAGUUGUGGCAGUUCUACUUUAAAGGGACACUCCACUGACCAAAUACAAAAAAAUACAAAUCACUGUUUAGUAGUUAUACCCCAAAUGAAAACUUGCCUACACUUAAUAAUGCAUUUUUGGGGGUGCGGAGCUCGAUAGCCGAAGCGAACGGUUGCACAAACCUGGUGCUCCGGCAUUCUGCAUUGAAAACAUUGCUCUACAAGCUCUUCAACCCCAGAAUUAGAGUCCUGAGGGUCUCCCUAAUCCGUACCACCAAUAUGGGACGCAAGUCCAAAAAGCAGAAACCGGAUAAGCCUACCCUGGGCCUCACAAUCGGAGAUAUGUAAAGGCAGGCGCACGAGGUGACUGGGCCCAAGAUGGCCUCCUUCUCUGGAGGCUGCUUAAACCUAUCUGACGACUUCUCAUAUGAGGCGGCGGAAGAGAGCUUACCUGUACCGGCACAACAGUCAAAGACCUCGAUGGGUACCGACUCACCGGUGACCACGUAGGUGCUGCGGGAGCUUCUGGCAGAUCUGCAGAGAACUCUCUAGGCUGAUGUUGCCACGCUCCGGAGAUCUACAGGUCCUGACUGGUCAGCUUGGAAUGCUAGAGAAGGUCUCCGAAAAACGAGCUGUUCAAGAGCUACAACAGCAAAACCUAACAUAUGAAUGCCGAUUUGAGGCCUUCGAAGAUAACGGAACAACCUAAAAGUCAGGGGAGUACAGGAUAUCUUGGAGGCAGAGCUCUCCCAUCUUAUGAGGCGUUUGCUGUUGGCCCUAUGACCACCACGGCAGGCUAAGGCAGUAAUGCUGGAUACCAUCUUCCGAGUCUCUAAGCCACACGGGGCACCGACUAAUGCCCCCAGAGACCUGGUAAUCCGAUUCCGGAGUGGGGCUGACAAGGCCGCGUUUUUUUUACAGCUCUGAAGGGGAACUUUCUGGAUCAAUUUGAGAGCAUGUCACUCACAUUUUAUGCGGACCUGUCAGGCAGCACGUUGCCUUGACAACGGUCCCUCAAGCCACUUACCUUGCUCCUCCAGCAGCACCAAGUUCGCUAUUGAUGGUGCCUGGCUCACACACAGGAGGUCUUCCACGGUGACACCACGCAUUAACUUCACUAUCUCCAGGAAUCUGACUCUCUACUACAAAGCCUGGGGCUGUCGUCUGAUUCUCUUGGCCAAGCUGAAAAAUCUGGGGCACCAAAACCGCCACAUACAUGGGACCCGACGCGGAUUAACCCCUUUGUUCCUCAAGUCUCGGGUGAAUGCAUAUGCCGCGGUCACCUCAUGAAUUCCAGCUGGGAGCAAAACAUCUACUGUACCUGGGGACAGUAGAUGAGACUCCAUCUCAUAUUAACCACUAACCUAGUAUUACGGGACACUGAUUCACCCACUACCCAUCUAGUCACUCUUUACUUGUGGGACACACCCACCCACUGACCCAACUACCUGGUUAACGCGCAAUGCCUUCUGACAGUGAUUUUACACAGGGCAUGCUAUGUACUGGUUAUUACCAAGCUGGGGGAAUGACUGAAUCUCUUCUCUCUCUCCCUACUGGGGAGGUGAAUCUAUCAUUAUGAUUAUCUCCGCUACCACCAUAACCACCUACUCCUUGCACUUUAAUCUCUGACAAAGCCUCUAUAUAGGACCUGUUUACACGUUCCAAUCCUUAGACACUAUCCUCUGUCUUAGGUGGUUCGUGGAGACUAUUCCACAGUUCUCAAGAGCAUACACAUCUACUGUACCCUGCUUUGACUAUGCGUUCCUAAUCUACGUUCACGAUGUCCUGUUAACUGUUGUUUCUCUUGUCUUUAUAAAAAAAAUGCUUCCAUCUUACUGCAAUGUAUAACAUACACUCACUGCUUAAGUUCUUAACGUUACGUGUACAUUGUCACAUACAGAUCUUUAAUGCACCAUGAAAAAUAAAGAAUUAUAAAAAAAUAAUGAUUUUUUACAUUGGGGAUAAAACUAAAAAACGCUUGUAAAAGUUGCAGUUCUCUUGUCUUCAUUUGCCAGCUCUCCUGUUCUGAUCCCGCACAGACAUUCUGUGGCUGUCCAAUCACAAACUUCCCAAUGCAGCUCAAUGAGAAGUCUUUGAAAGGCAGGUGCACUAGGCAGUUCUUUCCUCUUGAGUUUAGCUCCACUGAGCUAAACAAACCAUGAAGUGACAGGACUUUUUAUCUGAUCGACUGCAUGGGGUGUGUAACCAGAUUCAUUUAUAAAAGUUUAUACUUUUCUAUUGAAAUCUGCACUUUUACAAUUGAGCAGCAACUUUAAAUAUUUGCAAUGCAUUCUUUUUUUAUAAUAACAUGUAUUACUGAAGCAAAAAAAAUAAAAAUAAAACUUAGUGGUAAACUAACAUACACACUGCUAUAAACAUAUAGGCGCCUUUAAGCAAGAGUUGGAUAGGUUGAUGCGUGCAGGACAGUGAGUCUGUCCAUAAUAAUAAAUAGUAAUAUUAAUAAUAAAGUACUAGGCCUUGGAAUGGGUAAUAUUGAAUGAAGGAAAUUGCUCUUUUGCCGCACUUAAUGAACUUUUGGAAUGUAUUAUUAUAUGCAGUAAAUUCAUAGAGCCACAACGGAUUUAAAGAAAUAUGCAAUAUAUGUUGAAAAAUAUACUGUUCUGCCAUUUUUACUGAAAAGAGAUUGCAUGCCUUUCUCUGAUGUCAAUGCAUUCCUUUGAAAACAAACUGAUUUAUAUCUUUAUACUUUGAUCUCACAAGAGAUUCCAUAUAAAUAGAACUAGUGUAUGUUUUGUAAAUGUUCUGAAGCUCAACCUAUGGGAAAUAGUACAUAUAACUGCAACAAUUUUUGUAAAUAUAUUUUCCCCUUUGAAAACAUUGCUUCUGACAGCAGAUAUUAUCAAGUUGAUCUACCUAAUCUGAUUGUUUUCAUUUUUCCCUUGUAUUUGGCUUUGCCAUCCCAGCUGGUAGAAUAUUUCAUCAAGCUAUUUUAAAAAAACAAAUAAAAAUUCUUAGAAAAGUCUUGUCUUAUGGCACGCAUACAUUUUACUUCCAGUUUCACGUUUUUUUGUUUUUUUUGUUUUUUGUUUUGUGUGAUUGUUUUUCUUUCUACAGAAUGACACCUUUUUAUUGUACUCUUAUUUAAAUUACAACAUUCUGAUAGUAUAGACAUCUUGUGCACAUUUCAAAGAGCAUACAAUUCUACCUAUACAUAGCACUAAAGGAUUUGCUAGCAAGUAUACAUAGGGAGACAAAAAAAACCUAUUUAAAAAGAGGUUCUUCUCCCACCUGUUCAUCAAUUAUUCGGUAUAGAGUCUAUGCUAAAGAAUUGCCUAACAAGUGAGCGCAGAAGAGAACCCUCACCGGCAGUCUUUUUGCUUCCCACACAUGGCAACCACUACACAUGCGCUGUGGUAUCUCCCUAGGCGACACUGCUACCGCCGGCUAGGGGUAUAGGAACAGAGUGAUUAAUAUCACUCUGUACAGACGUCGGCAUGCAGGCGAUGAAGCCAUUGUGUCUGCAUCACAGAGGUUUACUCUACUUGGGAAGCUUUCACAAGCUGGAUAAAAGGGGAUUGCAGGAGGAGAGGGGGCGUACUGAAGGUGGGUUUUACUUUAAAAAAAAUAAAAAGCUGAGGACACGGCAGCGCUGAAUCAGAGGUAAAGUGAGUGAAUAACAAAAUUUUUUAUUAAAUACGUAAUGUAUUUCAGUGUUAUAUGAUGUAUUUAAUGCAUUUGGGGGUGGGGUGAUUUAUGCUAAAUUGAGAAUCAAAUGACUAGUUCACUUUAAAAAGACUGGCUUACAUCAAGUUCAGUUUAUCACACAUCUCUGCUUCUGUUGAAAAAUCCGUCCAAAAAAUCUUAUGUCAAGCAAUUCAUAAUUUUGCAAUAAAAUGAGGAAAAAAAACAUUUUUAUUGACUGCAAACUGGCAAUCGCCUUUUUUUUUUUUUCUUCAUUCAAGGUUUAUUAGCUUCAUCAUUGCUUACAUCAGGAAGGCAAAUAUGUGCAUCAAAGAUAAUAUGUAGCGAGACAACUUCAUAGUAUAACAUAUUACUUAACAACAUAAUAAAGAAUAGCAUAGGUCAGCAAUAUAAGGUUUAGUCUAAGUAUGUCUACAUAUGACGUCAGUGUCAAGGCGAUAUAUUAAUUUAAUAGCCAUGUGUUUCACACGGUUCUGGUAUUGGUGAAAUUGUAAGUUCCAUCACAAUCUUUUACUAUAGGUCAAAGUCUAAUUAUGGUUAAUUUGCUAGACAAUAGUAAUAAUUAGGCAUUGUAUAAGUUAUGGUAGCCACUUGUGGCACAGUUUUCCCUUGUUAUUUGGACCGUGCGGUCUUUCACUGCCUGUACACUGAUUUAAUGCAUAAUUAAGCUUAUUUGACUAAACGAUAAUAACAUAGAGCUGAGCAAGGCAAGCUAGCCAAGUAAAGUAGUGUACUGUGUGACAGAAGUGUAAACAUUAUCGCGGCUGUGUGUUCUACCCUGUUCUCCUGCUGGUGUUGUGAUUCUACAGCUUAGACUAUGUCAGGAAUGUGGUGUGUGUAUCUCCCGCAACGGGUCGGGGCAGUUAGAGUGUGAUAAGAUACAAAGAAGGGAAAAGGGGGAAAAAAAGGGGGGGAUUGACCCCGCAAAUGAGGGGGGGACUGUGGGAUAGGGCCCAUCGUGAAGGUCCCUAGCAGAGUCCCCUUGCGGACUCCAGGGUGCUUGGUCCAAGCAUGUACAGGCAGGUUAUGUAUAUGUAAAAUAAAUUUAAAAAAAAGGGGGGGGGGAGGGUUGGUUACUGGAAGAUAGCUUUCUGCCCUAGGUAAAGGUUAUCUCUGCAUAAGAAUGUAUCUGUAAUUCUGUCUGCCAUAGGUAAAGGCUAUCCCUGCAUUAGAGUGCAUCUAUAUUCCUUACUGCCAUAGGUGAACGCUCUCACUGCGUGCAAAUGUAUCAUCCUGCCCCCGUUCUCAGAGGAGAUUAAGGAUUGGUGUAAAGCUUCUGUAGGGCCAAACCCAGUGCAUCAACAGUUGGACCCUGGGGGCGCCAACUUCAUUACUGCCACCCGACUCCAGGUAAAGCCCCCCCACCAUGAGCUUCUUGGUACAGCGGGCACUUGAGGGUCCCCCCAGUCUAUGUGACACCCUUCUCCUAGAGUCCACCGGCAGGGCGGCCUCUGCACCCCCACUGUACCGGCAGAGUCUCGGUAGGUCAAACAGGACACCCCUGUCAGCUCUCUCUGUCGCCGGCCACUCCUCCAAAGCAUGAGCCACAUGACCCCGCGGUCACUGGUCCGCCGCAGGCCCCCACAGUCCAGCCCCCACAGGAUCGCCUAGGGGUAUGGGACGCUGCUGUCCACCCCGAGACAGCCUGGUCAUAGUGUUGCCAUAAAUUGUCGGUCGUCCCUCCGAGGCACAUGUGUGGUGCAUGGGUAGACUCCUGGGUAAGUGUGUUGAGAGUCGUCUCAUCUGUUCCCUGGCAGGGCAAGAAGAGAGCUUCCACAGUGUGGACGCUGCUUCUUAUGCAGUGACUUGGCACAUAUGAUCAAAGCUGUAUCCUGAGUCCAGCAAAUGAAGGCUGGGGGCCAUUAGCUUGUAAGUGGAAACUUGUAACUUAAAACGUAAAUCCGGGAAACAAGUGACCGCGAUGACCCCCUCCCCCCCGGCCCUUCAGGAAUCGAUCCACUGCGCUUUAAAUUGCAACUGCAGGCUGCGCGGGCUCAGAGAUUCAAGUAGUGAGCACAGUUGCCAUCUUGUUGAGGUGCGCUGAGUAAGGCACUUGUCGGGUGGGGGGCAGGGGGAGGGGGUACAGGGCUCAGAGUGUCCACAAGAAAGAAAGCUCAAGCAACCCCGGACGGAGAGAUCUGCCGCUUCCACCGCCAGGGAACCACCAGGUGUCAACAGGUUAUAGGCUGCAGCUUCAGGCUUGCAAAGAUUCUGGUGCCAGAAUUCACACCAAAGGUGCUCUGGCUAUGCCAGAUGAGGGUACCAACUGAAGGAGGUUUAGUAGUGGGGAAUUUUCCACCUUUUAAAUCACUGUUUAGUGAAUUUCAGUCAGGAGCUCAAAUCGUCUGCGACCGUCAAGUAUGGCCUCCCAGCCCCGCCCCCAUUUGGACUUUAUUUAAGGGACACUUUAAGUACAGUAACAUCUUGGGUUCCUUGCCUAGGUGUUGCUGCAAGAUUGUCUCCCUGUACUUGGUGCCUUACUGCAAAAUGUGUUGCAGAUCUAAGCAUACAGUGAGGGCUGGAUUUACCUUAAAGCCACCCAAGCUUCAGGCAGAAGAGGAACGGCCAGCCCAUUCUCCUGCAGUGGGGCCAAACGCACUUGGAGAUCUUCUUGGCCCUACACUAUUUCUCUUAUCGGCCCUGAUCUAUUGCAUCAGAGCGUCGUCGCGGGUUAUUUAUGUGCGUAAUAAAUCAGAUUAAUUUUAUGAAACCCACUUCUCUGCACCUUUACUGCAUGGUUUCUCAUGUUUUGAGUGCUUAUAUACAAUGCUGGGUCCGUAGCAGGUAAUCUUACAUUUCUCGUGAAAACUCCAUAAACUGUGUAUCCCGGUUGGAGAGUGGUCUUCAUUCUAGAGAACAUCAUCUUAUAUCUGGGCACUGUUACAUUGCGUCAAAUCGGGGCUUUCUGUACCAUAAGCAAAGGAAGAUCCCAUACACACAUGUUCCUUGGACAGUUUUACAUUAAAAAUGUUUUGUAUCUAUUUACCUAUUUACACAUUGUAUGUAUGUGAUUGUACGUGUUCUUGAGUAUUUUGUGAUUUAAUAUUAUUUAGCAUUAAGACUUUAUAUCCACUUUAUUAUUUGCCUUGCGAUUAAUAUUUAACCUUAAGAUGUUUCAUAAUUUAGAUAUUUUACUUUCACUGCAUACACUUUAUAAUAUUUGUUAUCAGUUUUAUCUGCACUAAUCAUUUGGUGCAUAUUAUUUUUUAUUUUUUUUUUAAUAUUGUUUACUACUAUAUUCUAAGGACUGGAUACAGUAGAUGCAUAUGAGUGCAACUCUUUGUUUCUGGUAACAUGGAUCAGUAUAUAUUUUCUAAAUUUUUUGGGGUCAAGUGCAGCACUAACGCAAGUAUAUUAUAUAAUAAAGAGAUACAGAUCCAUAUACAUAGGUAUGGCUGUUAGGGAGCAUAUUGCAGCUUUAGGUGGUAUAUGUCAUUAUGCUGGUUGCAUUAUUAACACAUAUCCUCUUGUUUUUCCUAGGUUGGAAUAACUUUGUUCACGGUUUCCCACAGAAAGUCCCUGUGGAAACACCACGAGGUAAAGUAAACAGUGCUUGUAUUCUUUUCUGAUAGGAAACCACGAUUUAUUGACAUUUUUUCUGAAGCAGAAAUGUCGUUUUGCAAUAUUUUUUUCUUCAUAUAGGUAAAGGUUGUUUUCUCAAGUUAUAUAGGUUGGACCCUCUUAUUGAAGAGACACAAUAUUCACCAGAACAACUACAGCUUAUUGUAAUUGUUCUGGUGAGUAGAUUCAUUUGCUUCAGGCUUUUUGCAGUAAACACAGUCUUUUCAGAGAAAAUGCAGUAUUUGCAUUCCAGCCUAGUGAUAACUCCACUGGCCACUCCUCAGAUGACUGCUAGAGAUGCUUCCUGGGGCAGUCGUGCCUAGUAUGCAUCAUAACAUUCAGUGUCUCCACCCUCUGCAUUGAUUCAAUUCAUCUCUAUGAGGAGAUGCUGCUUGGCCAGGGCCGUGUUUGAAUCAUGCUGACUCUGCCCCUGAUCUGCUUCCUUGAUAGUCUCAGCCAAUCCUAUGGGAAAGCAUUGUGAUUGUCUCAGACCACCACUUCUGAUGAUGUUGAGAUACGAGGCAGAGGCAGCAGCUGCAGACUUGAAUACAAGUAAAAUUUGAAUAUAUUUAUGGAGGCAAGGGGAGGCCAGGUGGGCUAGAUGGUGGUUUUACCACUAUAGGGUCAGGAAUACAUGUUUCUGACCUUAUAGUGUUCCUUUAAUUGCCAGAACCUUUUAGCUUGUGCCAUAGAUUGGUGCAAUAAACUACAUAUUGAUUUAAGUGAGCUGUGUAUAUAUUUUAUUUUAUUGAGGACCACCUGUACAGUGCAAAUCCUGAUAUCAAACCUUUUAUUGAAGCAUGGUUAUGGGGUGCAGAUAUUAUGGGCCUGUACUGCUUGUUCAUUUAAUUAAAGAAUUAAGUUAUACUUGUCUUCUUAUGAGGCAGAGAAGGGUGAUUAACCUCGAGCUCUUCACGUGUCUAGUGAAACAAGAAGACAAUGAAGGGAAGCACUCAGAAUACAUGUUCUAAGAGUGGCUUAUAACUCCAGCCUUUGUAAGGAUGCUUUAAAAUGACCUAUCUCGGCAAGCAAAUAUUGGGAUUCAGUUCCACCAAAGACCAUAUCGUGUUAAGACCACUACAAAGCUAGAGUACCACAAUUUCAAUGGGUCUUACACGAAUUCCAUGUGUGAGACUUAAAUCUUGCUGGUGCUCAAUUAACUAAAUUGUAUGUAAUUAACUUGUUAUAAGAGCAUUGUGAAUAUAUAUAAUUCAAAAUUAUUGUGAUAAAGGGCAGGGCGCUCAACCCUUUUUCUACGUAUGUUUGGAGUCCAGACCAGAUUACUUUUGCAUUGAGAAACUCACUUCAAAUGCUCCUUUGUAGGUGCCUGCAAAAAAGUAUAAGUUUGAGGAGGUUUUGGAUAGCAAUGUCACUUAAUAAUCUUCAUUUUAUAUAGAGCAGGUAUAUGGCAUGCAUUGUGAGUAUCUACAUCAAAGCAAAAAAAUGGGUCGCAAGAGUAUACUGAGAACGGGCAGCAGCUGAAGUAGCCUGGUUUUUGCUCAUCUUGUGCCAUUACAGAGAGAACAUGUCUGAAGCACAUCAGACUGGUCCCACCCAUAUGGGCAGUCCAGCAAGUUCUGCACGAGAGAUACAGCAACCCCAGACGAUCGAUUCAGCCUUGUUAGGCAUCAUCAGUGAGGCAUAGCUGAUAUCUCCCUAGGCACCGUGAGCAAGGGGUCCACGUCUGGAUUAUAUCUUUUAAACUUGUGGAGAACAAAAAAAUGGGUCGCAAGAGUAUACUGAGUAUGCUGGCAUUUCGGAUCUGGACUGCCCGUAUGGUUGGGACCAGUCUGAUGUGCUUCAGAUAAGUUCCAUCUGUAAUGGCACAAGAUGAGCAAAAACCAGCUUGAGAUCUGAGCGGGGACCCACCGAAGGGCAGGCUACUUCAGCUGCUGCCCAUUCUCAGUAUACUCUUGCGACCCAUUUUUUUGUUCUACAUCAAAGCACGAUCACUUGAAUUGAUUAGUUUUAACACUUUCUGUAUUUCUCUAUUAAUUUUGCAUUAUAUAAAUUCACAAUGCUCUCAUAACAGAUUAAUCAAAUACACUUCAGUACAUUUAGCACUAGAACUGUUAAAUUUGCCUCAGUCAUUAAAAUUAGUGUAGGAUCCACCAAUAUUGGUGGAUUAACACAAUAUGGGGCUUAACACAGUAUGACCAUAUGUGAAGCUGAAUACCCAUGUUUGUUUGCUCAGAGAUGAUUUUAAAUAGCCUUGUAAAAUGUAAACCUGUGUUUGAUUGUGUAUGUGUGCUGUUCCUUAAUCUGUAUUUCUUCUUCUGAUAUGUCAGCCUUGUCCAAGUUAUUCAUGCAACUGCAUGGAAGGGUAACUAGGAAGGUUCUCCCUCUAUUCUCCCCAAAAAGAGUUGUGCCUCAGUUGAUUACAGACCUGAUUACAAUAUAGAUACUCAUCAGUCUAUAAGGGGAGAAAUUGGCUAUCAUUGGCCAAACCUAUAGAAAGCUGUAGUCUCAAUUGCUAGAUUAUGUAAGAGAAAUAAAGAUUGUGAUUGAAUAUAACUCCCACCUUCCCGCCCUCCCCCCCCAAAAAAGUUUUGCAUUCUUGAAAAUCUGUUCUUUUAAACCGGUGAUGGGAAACCUUUGGCCCUCCAGAUGUUGUGGACUUCAUCUCCUUCGAUGCUUCUCCAGCAUUACGGUUGUAAGAGCAUUAUGGGAGAUGUAGUCCAAAACAUCUGGAGGGCCAAAGGUUCACCAACCCUGUUUUAAACCCAUCAUCUGCUGCCUGAGACGGGAACCAAAAGCUUGUGAAACAGAUUGCCUUGUUUUUUUUUUUACCAUUACUCAUAAUGUUUUACUUAAUUUUACAGUACUACCUUCACAUGGAUGGCAGAGGGAACUAUGAAUUCAAGCAGAUCACUGAUGACACCAUUGAAUUUGGAUCUUAAGUGUCCUCUGCUCAUGAUUAUGAAAAAAUACAGAGAAAAUCAAAUUAACUCAUGGAAGAAAAACUUUAAAAAGUUUUUAUUCUUUUUUUUUUUUUAGAGAGAGAUUACUGCAUAAUUCUAAACAAUCCGUGUCUAAUAUAGAAUACUGAUAACUGUGCAUUCAUCAACUAAGUUAUUAACACUAAGAAUACAAUGAAAUGGCAAAUGCGGUGCUUGCCUUUUUGGAUCUGGUUAGUGAAUCCGAAAUCAACUCCUGUGAUUUACCUAGCCAGUAGAAGAGGGGUUUAUCCGGUUUUCAUAAGGUUUCGAUAUGAAAUGUCUCCUCAGUUGUCAUAAAUUAAGAUAAGGUACCAAGGUAUUGUGCUACUUUUUUUUUGUUCCUAUCUGGCAUGGGCUGCCUUUUACAAGAGGACUUUUUUUUUUUAUAUUAAAGAAAUUCAUCUAAGCCUUUGACAUGGCGCCCAUUAUAAUGUUAUUUAAACAUGCGUAGCAUAACUUCCUCUUAAAUUAAUCUCAGGUUAACUUUUUAUUUGAAGCCAAUACCUGGUAAUAAGGAGAAGAAAGAAAAACAAAAAAGAUGACAAAUGCACUAAAUAUCAAAAGUUGUGUUUAAAUUCCAGUUUAAAGAUUAUGCGCAAAAAUAAAUGAAUGUUAAUUUGAGAAGAUAUCCGUAAUGAGUUGGUCAGCGUGUAAUAUGUACAACACUAUAUACAUCCCAGGGAAUUGUAGCCCUUUAAACUCCACCAAACAGCCAUGUGCUGGCUUGUUUUAUCAUGUUGAAUAUGCCAGUUGGACUGAUUCUGUAUAUCGUUAAUUUUAUAUUAUGUUUGAUUUACUCCUCCCAGAUACAGAUCUCAAUGUACUUUCCAUGUGAUUUUGAAUAACCUAUUAACUUAAUAAAUAGUUGGAUGAAUUUUUACACUGUUAAAAGGAGCGUGCUCCAUAAGGUAGUGAACCAUUUAUUGUAGAUAUGUCUUCUGCGGCAGGGUGGGCUGAAUGGAUAUAUUGUAACAUAGAAAUGUGCUUCUUGAAAGCAUGCACUGAGUAUGCAAUAAAUGGGAUCUAUAUAAAUCCUCUUCCAUGCUUUUUACGUUUAUUUGUUUAUUAUGUAACUUACUAGAAUACUAUUUUGUAUAUCUUGACAAAUAUCAGAUUAUUGGCAUUCAUAUCACACAGGUAUCUUUAUUGCCUUUUUGAACCUACUAAACUCUGCAGAUGAUGGACUGAAUCAGUCAAUUUGGUGAUUCCAACUUUCACAUGAAACCCUUCAGCACCAGGAUCAUUUAAAUUAAAAACUUGGCACACUAUUUAUUUGAAACAUAGCUAGCACAAUAAUGUAGGAUAAACCUGUAGCAUCAUGAAUAGAUUGUUAUCCAGGGAUAAGUACAAAAUGUACAUUCCUCCCCACCCCCCAAUUAUUACUUCAUCCUUUAAUGAAAUACUGGAGAGAUGUUUUUCGACAAAGCUGUAUUUUAGACAGGAUAAAAGGGGCAGUUUCCCAGGGCUCAAAUCUGCUUUCCCUUUUGCUUGACACCCACAGCUAUUAUUUUCCUUUUUUUUUUUUUUGUCCAGCUGCUGGGUGCAUGAUAAAGAGUGUGGAUUUGGCUCAAGCUGAAAUGUAUCUGGCGCAUGGUGGUAGGGCAAAAUAAGUUAUUCAGAUUACAUCUUGUGGUGAUCCUGCAUGGAGGUCAACAGUUUACUGCAAUACGGGGAAAGAACACACAAACCAGAAUGUAAAAAAAAAAAAAAGCCCUUCUGCUUAUUUCCCCAAAACAAUUUCUGCACAGGAUCCGUGAGGCAAAAUCCGCAAACACAAACCGUAAAACACACAGGUCCCAACAAUACAGGAGGAGAAACAUUAAAGGUAUAUGUUGUAAACCGUGAAAACCAGGAACCAAACGUCACCACUCCUGUCAAAUGUGGUUGUAUAGGGGUCAUUGAGGUACUAAUGUUCUGUUACUUGGCUCAUAUCUGUCACCUAAUGCACUCUCUAUGACUUGGAUAUCCUGUACAAUAUAGCAGUCUUAAACUAUCCUUAUCAUGAGUUAUGAAUUUACAUGUUGUGUACAUUGUGCUAGCCUUAAAGCUGGUACAUGUAUAGUUGAAAGUUUUUAUCAAUUUACAUUGUUUUAACCCCAUCCACCCCACUUAAAGGAACACCACUGCUCAAAUAAGGAAAAAAAAGUCACUGGGUAGUAUAUAUAUGCCCAAAGAAAACAUGCAUGCAUUUAAUUAUGCAUUUUUUUGUUAUUGUGCGAUACUUAAAAAUAUAACAAAGACUUCCUGUGGCCGUCCAAUCACAGACUUCCAAAUGCAGCCUAAUGAGAUGUUUUUGCAAAGCAGGUGCUCUGGGCAAUUUGUCUGCCUCUUGAGUUUAUCUCCAGGUUGCAAUAGGAACAGUUGCCUGAUUAACAGCAAAGGGGUGUAGCAAGGUUAAUUGAUAAAAGUACCAAUUGUAAUUGAGAAAUAUGUGUGUGUAUAUAUAUAUAUAUAUAUAUAUAUAUAUAUAUAUAUAUAUUAUAUUACACACUCUUUACACACAAAGCACUUAAGGGAGCUGAAGUGCUUUAGGGGUCUGCAAUGUCCAUUUAACCACUAUGCAACUGUGCAUGCCUCUGCCUCAUAGCCCAAGUAACACAUGCAUCCUCAGAAUUGUGGAUUACCACAUGUUUGAUUAGGACAGUAGCCGCAGUUGCAGCCAUCACCUUUCUUUUCUCAGACACCAUUUUGAGUGAAGGAGAAUUCUUCAAGUGUGUGAAUCUGUGUUUGUGGCAGGAAUUGCCAACACAAUGUGUUAUUAACCUCUUGACGAAGGAUGACGGUUCAGGACCAUUAUCGGAAACAUCCCCUUGAGGACUGAUGACGGUCCUGAACCGUCAUAACGGUCUGGGGGGGACUUACCUGAUCACCGUCGGUGAUCAGCGUGUUACCCGGUCCAGGGGGACUGCCUGUCUGCACAGACAGUCUCCCCGCGGCAGAUCAGGACCCUUCGUUCACGUGAUCGCUUGAUCACAUGACCGCAGUAGGUGCCUGUGUAUUUUCCUGCAGGGGGACUGUAUGUUCUGACAGGAAGUCUCCCUGCAAGUGAAAAACAAUAAAAUCCAAUGUAAAAAAAUGUGUGUGUGUGUGUGUGUGUGUGUGUGUGUGUGUAUGUAUGUGUAUAUAUAUAUAUAUAUAUAUAUAUAUAUAUGUCAUACUAUGUGUAUUUUUAUAUUUAUAUAUAUAUAUAUUAAUAUAAAAAUACACUUCUAUUUAAAUUAUACACGUGUAUAUAUAAUAACAAUAUAUAGUGUGUGUAUAUAUAUAUUAUAAAAUAUAAAUAAGUAUAUAAAUAAAUUAAAAAUGUAAAAAUAAUUUUUAAUUUAAAAAAAUUAUAUAUAUGUAAUUUUAUUCUAACGGUAUUUUGAUAUUAUAUAUCUAUGUAUAUUUAUAUCAAAAUACACUUAGAAUAAAAUAAUAUUUAUAUAUCUAUGUAUAAAUAAAUAAAAAUACGAAAUAUACAUUUGUCCAUAUACAUAAUUACAUAAAUAUACACUUAGACUUCAAAUAUAUAAAUAUGUAUAUAUAUUUAAAUUCUACGUGCAUAUUUAUGUAAUAUUACAUAAUUAAGUAAUUUUAUUGAUUGCAUUUUGAGGGACAUGCCUGAGAACCCAGGCCGAAAUUCUAGAGAAUUUAAUUUGCUAGCACUGUGUUUAACCCUGUAACUUUCUAUGACACCCUCAAACCUGUACAUGGGGGGGUACUGUUUUACUCGGGAGACUUCGUUGAACACAAAUAUUAGUCUUUCAAAACAGUAAAACAUAUCAUAGCGAUGAUAUUGUCAGUGAAAGUGAAGUUUUUUGCAUUUUUCACAUACAAACGGCACUUUCACUGAUAUUAUUGCUGUGAUACGUUUUACUGUUCUGAAACACUAAUAUUUGUGUUCAGUGAAUUCUCCCGAGUAUAACAGUACCCCACAUGUAGAGGUUUUAUAGUGUUUUUGAAAGUUACAGGGUCAAAUAUAAGGUUUGAUUUUACUUUUUUUUUUUUUUCAUUGAAAUGUUGCCUUUGAGAGCUUAUGGUAGCCCAGGAGUGAGAAUUACUCCCAUGAUGGGAUACCAUUUGCAUAAGAAGACAACCCAAGGUAUUGCAAAUGGGGUAUGUUCAGCCUUUUUUAGUAGCCACUUAGUCACGAACACUGGCCAAAGUUAGCGUUUCUUGCAUUUUUAACACGCAAACAAAUAUAAAUGGCCAGUGUUUGUGACUAAGUGGCUACUAAAAAAGACUGGACAUACCCCAUAUUGAAUACCCUAGGUUGUCUACUUUAAAAAAAUAUAUAUGUACCUGUGGGGUGUGCUUCAGAGAUUUAUGACAGAUAAUAGUGUUACAAUGUCACUAUUGAUACAUUUAAAAUAUAUUGAAACAGUAAUUUCCUACUUGUGCUUAUAGCCAUAUAACAAAAAAAAAAAGCACGUAAACACUGGGUGUUUUUAAACUCUGGAAAAAAUUUUGAAUCUAUUUUGCAGUUUUCUUUCAUUAGCUUUCGUAGGUAAGUAAAAGAUUUUUCAAGUAAAAGUCCCAAAAAUAAAAUAUGACAUGAUACAGAAAGCCCUUCUUGCCCUGAAAAAAAACAAUAUAUAUCUUGUAUGGGAACAGUAAAUGAGAGAGCAGAAAAUUACAGCUAAACACAAACACCACAAAAGUGUUGAAACCGCUCUGGUCCUUAACGUACAACAUCGCAAAAACAGGCCGCUCCUUAAGGGGUUAAAUGGACACUCGAAGGUAAACAAAAUUGUUGCCAAUGGGAGUACCAUUACUGUGGGAAAGGCAAUGGUGUUGCAGUAAGCAAUUUGUUUUGCUUGGGGCAUGGUGAAUAGGAUACCUAAUCCUGCUAAACAUGGCCCAGUUUUGUAUUGUACUCAGUGGUUAAGAAGCGGGAUAGAACAACAUAGUUGACAUAAUCUGGAGCUAUAUAAUCACUUAUGACAGGUACCCAAAGCUGCCUUGUGAGGGAAUCGCUUAAUUUAGCUAAACCCUUUAACGCCGUUACGGCAUUCUAUGCCGUCCCGCAUUAAAUGAGCUUUAAAGCCGUUGCGGAGGCAUAGAACGCUGUAACGGCUUUCACCCCCAGGAGCUCGGCGGUACUCUCCUCUGCCUCGAUCCUCUUCGGGAGGACUGCCUGACAGCCCAGGCAUCCCUCCCCCAGCAAAUCAGGCUCCCGGGGCCAUGUGAUCGCUCUCAAAGAGCGAUUACAUUUAUUAUAUUUUUUUAAAAUUUUAAUAAAUUAUAUAUACAUAUGUAAUCUCAUUCUAACUGUAUUUUGUUAUGAAUACAUAUAUUGGUAACAAAAUACACUUAUAAUGAUAUUCUAUAUAUAUCAAUCUAUGUAUAAAAUACAAAUAACUGUAAAUAUAUAUAGAUAAAUAUAAUUACAUAAAUAACUACAUAAGUGUACACAUAGUAUUUAAAUACAUAUAUAUGUAUAUAUACAUAAAAAUUCUACAUGUAUGCUUAACCCCUUAACGACGCUGGACGGAAAUUUUCCGUCAAGGCAGACCUACCCUUAAGGACGCUUGACGGAAAACUUCCGUCAAUUACUAAAGUUAACGCCAGAUCGCCGCGAUCGUGGGGUUAACGCUGUUGCUGGGUGCCUUGGCGUUUGAGGAAGCCCAGCAACAGCCAAUAGUGCUGUCCCAGCACAUGUGAUCGCUGUGACAGCCAGUCACAGCGAUCACAGUGCUGCUGGGAAUUCUGAUCCUCCUCCCUCCACCUCUGUGUGUGAUUAGAAGUGGAGAGAGACGGAUCGUUUGAAACUUUGUGUCCCUGACAGACACAAAGUGUUUAAAAGUUUAAAAAAAAACCUUUUACCCCCUUUAACUUUAAAAGUUUAACCCUUUGAUCACUGGCAGCAGUGAUCACAAUACUGAUCACAGUACUUUACUGAGAUCAGAGGUUUUUUUUUUUAACCCUCAGGGGUUAACUUUAUUUUCUUUUUAACCCUCAGGGGUUAAAUAUAUUGAAUUUUUUUUUUUUUUACUUUUAUUUUCAGUUAAUUAGUUAGCUGGGGUGGAUUGAAGCUAGGGGGAAUUGGGGAAUCUAGCAUUAGUGUAGCUAGGAAGCUGAAAAGUUUUCGAAAGUUAUUAAAAGUUUAUAAAAGUUAUUAAAAGUUUAUAAAAGUAUAAAAAAAAAAGUGAAAAAAGGAAAAAACAGAAAAAAAAAGUAGUUUAUUUUAAGUCAAAGCAUUUCUGCUUCGCUAGGUGUAAGCACGGUGAUCUGAUUCCUGUUUUUACCCACAGGGGUUCAUUUUUAAAAAAGUUUUUAGAAGUUUUAGAAAGUUUUUAAGAGUUUUAAAAAAGUUAAAAAAAAGUAUUAAAAAAAUUCAGAAAACAAAAAAAGUAUAAAAAAAGUUAAAAAAACAAAACAAAAAAAUACGUUAUUUAGUUAAAGUUAAUUUUAAGCUUUCACCAUGCUUAGAAAGUUUAGUGCCGAGGAGGCAUAUAAUAUAUUAGCAGCCGACUCAGAGGCAACCGACACUGCCUCAGAGAGUGCAGAGGGUGACUAUGUGCCAGACACAGAUGAAGAAAGUGACGAUACCCCUGGCACUGCUCCUGGCGCUGAUAUCUGGGUGCCCCCUAACAAUUUUGUCCCCGACAUCCCUCUGUUCACUGCGACUCCUGGUAUUCAGGGAGACGUGCCCAGCUAUAACUCCCAGGAUUUUAUGGAGCUGUUCCUUGGGGAUGAUUUUUUAGGGCAGAUAGCUACACAAACAAAUAUUUAUGCAGCGCAGUAUCUGGCACAAAAUGCAACAAGUCACCUUGCCACAAAAGGGAGCUGGUACCCCACCAGUGUGCCAGAGUUAAAACAGUUCUGGGCACUAACCAUGCUAAUGGGAAUUAUAAAAAAGCCCAGCAUCCGAAUGUACUGGUCCAAAAACCCAGUAUGCAAUACUCCCAUUUUCUCUCAGACCAUGAGUAGGCCCAGAUACGAAACAGUACUGCGUUUUCUGCACUUCAAUGAUAAUUCGAAGUGCCACCCCAAAGAUCAUCCGCAGUAUGACAAACUCUAUAAAAUCCGCCCCCUAAUUAACCAUUUUAAUAAAGAAUUUGGCAUAAUUUAUACUCCCCAAAAGAAUAUAUGUAUUGACAAUUCCCUAAUGAAAUACAAGGGUAGACUGGGGUUUAAGCAAUACAUCCCAGCCAAAAGAUCCCGGUAUGGCAUCAAGCUAUACAAGUUAUGUGAAAGUAGCAGUGGGUAUGUUUAUACCUUCAGAAUAUAUGAAGGUAAAGAUAGCCACCGGGAUCCCCCAGGUUGCCCUGAUGUAGUUGGGACUAGCGGAAAAAUAGUUUGGGAUCUAAUGAACCCGCUACUGAACAAGGGGUACCACCUCUACCUUGAUAAUUACUACAAUAGCAUACCCCUCCAAAAAAUGCUAUAUUGUUUUGAGACUGUGGUCUGCGGCACUAUCCGCAAGACACGCACUGGCUUCCCCAAGGCUCUGGCAGAGAAAAAAAUUAAAAAGGGGGAAACGGCUGCUCUAUGCCAGGACGAACUGCUGGCUCUGAAAUACAGAGACAAAGAGGAGGUGUUCAUACUGACUACCAUGCACAGUGAACACACACGCAGGGUCGCAGUUCGAGGCAGACAGGAAACAAGACGGCUGCCUGUCUGCAUUAAGCAAUACAAUAAACACAUGGGGGGAGUUGACCUGUCUGAUCAAUUGCUGCAGCCAUAUCAGAUAAUGAGAAAGACCAGGGCCUGGUAUAAGAAAGUGGGCAUUUAUUUAAUGCAAAUGGCUACUCACAAUGCAUUCAUCCUUUUCAAAAAGGCAAAUCCUCAGCUGAAAUGUACUUUUCUUACAUUUCAGUUUCAGCUCAUUUCUGUGCUGCUCACUGAGUGCCACAGUGGGGAGCCAUCAGCAGGGCCUAGCAGCAGAGAUAUUCAGACAGGUCACUUCUGCUUUCGGAUACCACCAACCCCCCCAAAAAAGACCCCCCAGAAAAGGUGCAGGCUGUGUUACCAGAGAGGCAUUCGAACGGAGACCAGUUUCUACUGCCUUGAUUGUCCCUCUCAGCCUGGCCUUUGUAUUGGGAACUGUUUUAAAUUAUUUCAGCCAAUAAAUUCUCAAUACAAUUUUUUUUUUUACCUUUUAUUUAGUUAAUUGGGGUAGAUGAUAGUUCCUGGGAAAUUGGGGAGUUUAGUGCAUAUGCUAGGGGUAGAAAUACAAAUAAAAAAAACCAACAAAAAAAUAAAAUAACAUUGUUUUGUUAAAGUUCUUGUGUAAAAAGUUUAAAAUGCUUUGGAAGUACAGUUUGAGAAUUCUGACAGCGGAUUCAGAGGUGACAGACAGUGCCUCAGAGUUUGACCCAAAAUGGGACAUGGACCCAGCAUGCAAAUUCAAAGUUUGAAACAAACCUGAAAUGGCCGAGUCUCAAAUUUGCCCCUUCAACAUCCACAUAUACCUGAGAAAGGUACACACAGGGGUAUUGCUGUACUCAGACGACAUAGCUGAGUGACAUAUGAAGCGUUAUACUGCCGUAGCACACCUAAGGAUUGUAAACUAUGCAGUAAAAUCUCAAAGUAUGUGUCAAAAAGGCAGAGAAAAUGCUUACUACUACUAGACUUGGUACUCACUAGCGAAAAAAUGAUCCCACCCUAAGGUUCAAAAUGGGCCUUUUGAAAUACCCUGGGGUGUCUUCUUUAAAAAAUGGUAGGCCUUUGUGGGGGAAGUUUGAAUUCUCAACCUGUCAAAUGCCCCAAAAUGGGACAUGGACCCAGCGUAAAAAUUCAAAGUUUGAAACAGACCUGAAAUUGCCGAGUCUCAAAUUUGCCCCUCCAACAUCCACAUAUACCUGGGAAAGGUACACACAGGGGUAUUGCUGUACUCAGACGACAUAGCUGAGUGACAUAUGAAGCGUUAUACUGCCGUAGCACACCUAAGGAUUGUAAACUAUGCAGUAAAAUCUCAGUGUGUGUCAAAAAGGCAGAGAAAAUGCUUACUACUACUAGACUUGGUACUCACUAGCGAAAAAAUGAUUCCACCCUAAGGUUCAAAAUGGGCCUUUUGAAAUACCCUGGGGUGUCUACUUUAAAAAAUGGUAGGCCUUUGUGGGGAAAGUUUGAAUAAGCAACCUGCUAUUAGAACCCAAAAUGAGUCAUAAACCUAUAAAAUUCUGUAAAAACUGAAAUGGUCAGGUCUCCUAUAUGGCAGUGUAGCAUCAGGAAAUACGACUAAAGGCAUACAUUGGGGGUAUCGUUUUUCUCACAGGAGAUAGCUCAGCAUAAUUAGGGGUGUUUGAUCAUAUUGGAACAUAUCAAAUAUACAAAAUGCCCAGCACAAAUGUAACGCAUAAGUUAAAAAUGCAAAAAAUAUUUUUUUACCACAACCUUUGACAUAUCAUGGUGAAAAAAUGGCGACAUGUUAAGGCACAAUAUAUGCCAUGUGAGAUACUCUGGAGUGUCUACUUUCACAAAUGGUAGGCCUUUUUGCGGUUUUUGAAACAGUCAAACUGCUAUAAUGGCCCAAAUUGAAACAUAAGCCCUGCAAAUCCGUCUCUCAAAAUUCUACUCUAAAAACUGAAAUGGUCAGGUCUCCUUUAUGGCACUGUAGCGUCACCAGAUAGUGUCAAAGACAUACAUUGGGGGUAUUGUUUUACUCAGAAGACUUAGCUGAGCAUAAUUAGGGGUGUUUGAUCAUAGUGGAACAUAUCAAAUAUACAAAAUGCCCAGCACAAAUGUAAUGCUUAAGGAAAAAAUGCGGAAAAUAUUUUUAAACACAAAUUUUGACAUAUAAUGGUGAAUAAAUGGUGAACCGUUAAGGCAAAAUAUAUGCCAUAUGAGAUACCAUGUAGUGUCUACUUUCACGAAUGGAAGGCCUUUGUGUGGUCAUUUGAACAACCAAACUACUAUAAUGCCCCAAAAUAAGACAUAGGUCCAUUAAAUCCAUCUUUGAAUUUUCUAACUGUAGAAACUGAAAUAGUCUGGCCUCUUAUAUUUCAUUGUAGCUUCCCAAAAUAGUGGCAAAGACAUACAAUGGGGGUAUUGUUGUACUCAGCAGAUGUUGCUGAACACAAAAUGGCAUUUUGACCAGGAAUAGCACACAGCAGCUUUACAAAAUACACAUUUAAAAAACCUUGUUACAUGUGUGUAUUUCAAAAAACAGAAAAAACACAAUUUUACUACAAUAUGUAGCAGAGAUUGGUGGGAAAAAGGCUAUGUAAAAAGUGUCAAAAUACCCUUAAAUAAAUAGCCUGUGAUGUCUUCUUUAUUUAAAUAUAUACUUUUGUGUAGCAAUUUUGUUUUCUGUGACAGCUGUCAAACUUACAAGUCAAACAUACCAACUUCUAAAUUUUUUUCACAUUUAAAUUUUAUAUUACUCCUUGUAUUUUGUGACCUGUAACUUUUAAAAUAAGCUGAAAUCCUUUACAUAUUAUGCACUUUGAAAAACAAGAAACCUAAAUGAAUUUAUUUUGAAUUACUUUUCCUAAGCUGGACAUAUUAUACACACACUAUUAUUGCCAAAACUGUGAAAAAUAUAUACCGUAUAUACUCGAGUAUAAGCCGAGUUUUUCGGCACAUUUUUUGUGCUGAAAAACCCCAACUCGGCUUAUACUCGUGUCAGUGUCUGUAUUAUGGCAAUUUACAUUGCCAUAAUACAGACUGGGGGCUGGCAGAGCUGUUACUUACCUCUCCUGCAGCUCCUGCCAGCUCUCUCCUCCUCCGCGCCGGUCCGUGCAGCACCUCGGUCAGCUCCCAGUGUAAGUCUCGCGAGAGCCGCGGGGUCAUAGUGCGGCUCUCGCGAGACUUACAGUGUGAGCUGGAGAAGAGCUGCACGGACCGGCGCGGAGGAGGAGAGAGCUGACAGGAGCUGCAGGAAGGUAAGUAACAGCUCUGCCAGCCCCCCUCCUCCCCCCACUGAACUGCCAAUGCCACUGGACCACCAGGGAAGGAGAGCCCCCCUCCCUGCCAUGUAUCAAGCAGGGAGGGGGGACAAAAAAUAAAUAAAUUAAUUAAUAAUAUAUAAAUAAAAAUAAUAAUAAACAAAAUAAUAAUAUAACAUUUUUUUUUUAAAUAAUAUCAAUUAAUAAUAUAUAAAUAAUAAUAAAAAAAUUAUAACCAAAAAAAUUAUUUUUUUUUUAUAAAAAUGCCCACCCCCCACCAAAGCUCUGCAACACAAACACACACUGCACUCAUACACACACUGCACUCAUACACACACACUGCAUUCAUAUACACACAUACACUGCAUUCAUAUACGCACAUACACUGCAUUCAUACACACACACACUGCACUCAUACACACACUGCAUUUACACACACUGCGCAGUCAUACACACACUGCAUCACACACACUGCAUUCAUACACACACACACUGCACUCAUACACACACACUGCACUCAUAUACACACACUGCAUUCAUACACACACUGCGCACUCAUAUACACACUGCAUUUAUACACACACUGCGCACUCAUACACACACUGUAAAUAAAUAUUCAAUUAAUAUAAUUUUUUUAGGAUCUAAUUUUAUUUAGAAAUUUACCAAUAGCUGCUGCAUUUCCCACCCUAGUCUUAUACUCGAGUCAAUAUGUUUUCCCAGUUUUUUGGGGUAAAAUUAGGGGCCUCGGCUUAUAUUCGGGUCGGCUUAUACUCGAGUAUAUACGGUAUAUUUUUUCUUUUUUUUUUCUUUUUUUUUAUGUUUUUUAAUAAUAAAUUAGAUUUUAUAUAUGUAUAAGUCACAUCAAAGUAAAGCCCAUUUUGUCCUUUAAAAAACGAUAUAUAAUAUGUGUUGAUUCAAUAAAUGAGAGCGAUGCAAAUUGCAGUUGAACACAAACAGCAAAAAAUGCAAAAAUACCCUUAAGGGGUUGUUAUUAUUAUAAUAUAAAUACAUACAGUGAGAGCUGGCUGAGUUAUUAUUAUUAAUUGGGUUAUUAUUGUUAUUAUAUAAAUACAUACAGUGAGAGCUGGCUGGGUUAUAUUAUUAUAUAAAUACAUACAGUGAGAGCUGGCUGGGUUGUUAUUAUUAUUAUUAUUAUAUAAAUACAUACAGUGGGGAGCUGGCUGGGUUAUUAUUAUUGUUAUUAUAUAAAUACAUACAGUGAGGGCUGGCUGGGUUAUUAUUAUUAUAUAAAUACAUACAGUGAGAGCUGGCUGGGUUAUUAUUAUUGUUAUUAUAUAAAUACAUACAGUGAGGGCUGGCUGGGUUAUUAUUAUUAUAUAAAUACAUACAGUGAGGGCUGGCUGGGUUGUUAUUAUUAUUAUAUAAAUACAUACAGUGAGAGCUGGCUGGGUUAUAUUAUUAUUAUUAUAUAAAUACAUACAGUGAGAGCUGGCUGGGUUGUUAUACAAAACCCCCGCCCCCUUCUACAAAAUCCCUGCAGCCCCACACACACAUUUACAGGCAGACAGUCACACACUCAGUUACAGACAGUCACACACUCAGUUACAGGCAGACAGUCACAUACAGUCACAGGCAGACAGUCACAUACAGUCACAGGCAGACAGUCACACAUACACAUUCCCUCCAUGCGGCCAGUUUAUCAGCUGUUUGCUUGUGUGAGCUGUACUGGCCGCACGGCACCCUAACUACCAUGGGACACUGUGCGGCCACAGCUCACACAGCCCCCUCCAGCCAGGGCCGGUGCAAGGAUUUUGCCACUUGUGGGCAAAAGUGGUAAAGUUUGUCAGCCCCCAUGUGACAUCACAAUGCCCCACCCAUAUGAUUCUGCCAUGUUAACUAACGCCAGUGCUGCAGUGCCGCCACAAGUGUUUACAUUUUCAAAAGGCCUGUAAGGACAGGUUAGGACACCAGAACCACUACAUUAAGCUGAAAUGGUUCUGGGGAGUAUAGCGUUUCUUUAAUAUGAGGUAAAUUAGAGCUUAGUGCCACGAAUAAUAUACUAGAUUGCCUACUUACAACCAGAUGAGGAUGAUGAUGGGCUCUAGCUGCAGUCUGGCUCCACUGGUCUGGUGCAGAACAGGCUCUGGAGGCGGUUUGUAACUGUGGUCACAAAAAUCAAUGUUCUGGGAGAACGGGAAGCAGCUCCAUUUUUUGGGGGUCCUUUACACAGCUCAAGGUCUGGGUCCCAGGGUCCACCUUCAUGUUCCACCAAUGAGUUUGUCCACAGGGGGUGGAGUGUGUAGGGGAUGUCCUGAUAUGUGUGUAAGGAAUGCAUUGUGUGAAUCUGUGUUUGUAUGUGUAAGGGCUGCAAGGUGUGUUUCUGUGUAUGUACGGAAUGCAUUGUGUGUUUCUGUGUGUGUAAGGGAUGCAUUGUGUGAAACUGUUGCAUUGCUUGUGUAUGUGUGUCUGUGUGUGUGUAAUGCAUUGUGUGUUUUUCUGUGUGCAAGGGGUGCAUUGUGUGUAUGUGAUGAAUGUCAAUCUCUCUUCCCGCUCCAAUUUCCUUCUCCUCCUCCCAAUUUCUCUUCCUCUCCCCCCCUAAUUUCUCUUCCCCCUCCUAAUAUCUCUCCCCCCCUCCUAAUUUCAAUUUCUCUCCCCCCCUCCUAAUUUCUCUCCCCCUAAUUUCUNNNNNNNNNNNNNNNNNNNNNNNNNNNNNNNNNNNNNNNNNNNNNNNNNNNNNNNNNNNNNNNNNNNNNNNNNNNNNNNNNNNNNNNNNNNNNNNNNNNNAUUUCAGUUUCAGCUCAUUUCUGUGCUGCUCACUGAGUGCCACAGUGGGGAGCCAUCAGCAGGGCCUAGCAGCAGAGAUAUUCAGACAGGUCACUUCUGCUUUCGGAUACCACCAACCCCCCAAAAAAAAGACCCCCCAGAAAAGGUGCAGGCUGUGUUACCAGAGAGGCAUUCGAACGGAGACCAGUUUCUACUGCCCUGAUUGUCCCUCUCAGCCUGGCCUUUGUAUUGGGAACUGUUUUAAAUUAUUUCAUACUCAGAGCCAAUAAAUUCUCAAUACAAUUUUUUUUUUACGUUUUAUUUAGUUAAUUGGGGUGGAUGAUAGUUCCUGGGAAAUUGGGGAGUUUAGUGCGUAUGCUAGGGGUAAAAAUACAAAUAAAAAAAAACAACAAAAAAAUAAAAUAACAUUGUUUUGUUAAAGUUCUUGUGUAAAAAGUUUAAAAUGCUUUGGAAGUACAGUUAGAGAAUUCUGACAGCGGAUUCAGAGGUGACAGACAGUGCCUCAGAGUUUGACCAAAAAUGGGACAUGGACCCAGCAUGCAAAUUCAAAGUUUGAAACAAACCUGAAAUGGCAGAGUCUCAAAUUUGCCCCUUCAACAUCCACAUAUACCUGAGAAAGGUACACACAGGGGUAUUGCUGUACUCAGACGACAUAGCUGAGUGACAUAUGAAGCGUUAUACUGCCGUAGCACACCUAAGGAUUGUAAACUAUGCAGUAAAAUCUCAAAGUAUGUGUCAAAAAGGCAGAGAAAAUGCUUACUACUACUAGACUUGGUACUCACUAGCGAAAAAAUGAUCCCACCCUAAGGUUCAAAAUGGGCCUUUUGAAAUACCCUGGGGUGUCUUCUUUAAAAAAUGGUAGGCCUUUGUGGGGGAAGUUUGAAUUCUCAACCUGUCAAAUGCCCCAAAAUGGGACAUGGACCCAGCGUAAAAAUUCAAAGUUUGAAACAGACCUGAAAUUGCCGAGUCUCAAAUUUGCCCCUCCAACAUCCACAUAUACCUGGGAAAGGUACACACAGGGGUAUUGCUGUACUCAGACGACAUAGCUGAGUGACAUAUGAAGCGUUAUACUGCCGUAGCACACCUAAGGAUUGUAAACUAUGCAGUAAAAUCUCAGUGUGUGUCAAAAAGGCAGAGAAAAUGCUUACUACUACUAGACUUGGUACUCACUAGCGAAAAAAUGAUUCCACCCUAAGGUUCAAAAUGGGCCUUUUGAAAUACCCUGGGGUGUCUACUUUAAAAAAUGGUAGGCCUUUGUGGGUAAAGUUUGAAUAAGCAACCUGCUAUUAGAACCCAAAAUGAGUCAUAAACCUAUAAAAUUCUGUAAAAACUGAAAUGGUCAGGUCGCCUAUAUGGAAGUGUAGCAUCAGGAAAUACGACUAAAGGCAUACAUUGGGGGUAUCGUUUUUCUCACAGGAGAUAGCUCAGCAUAAUUAGGGGUGUUUGAUCAUAUUGGAACAUAUCAAAUAUACAAAAUGCCCAGCACAAAUGUAACGCAUAAGUUAAAAAUGCAAAAAAAUUUUUUUUACCACAACCUUUGACAUAUCAUGGUGAAAAAAUGGCGACAUGUUAAGGCACAAUAUAUGCCAUGUGAGAUACUCUGGAAUGUCUACUUUCACAAAUGGUAGGCCUUUUUUGUGGUUUUUGAAACAGUCAAACUGCUAUAAUGGCCCAAAUUGAAACAUAAACCCUGCAAAUCCGUCUCUCAAAAUUCUACUCUAAAAACUGAAAUGGUCACGUCUCCUUUAUGGCACUGUAGCAUCACCAAAUAGUGUCAAAGACAUACAUUGGGGGUAUUGUUUUACUCAGAAGACUUAGCUGAGCAUAAUUAGGGGUGUUUGAUCAUAGUGGAACAUAUCAAAUAUACAAAAUGCUCAGCACAAAUGUAAUGCUUAAGGAAAAACUGCAAAAAAUAUUUUUUUACCACAAACUUUGACAUAUAAUGGCGAAAAAAUGGCGACAUGUUAAGGCACAAUAUAUGCCAUAUGAGAUACCCUGGAGUGUAUACUUUCACAAAUGGUAGGCCUUUUUGCGGUUUUUGAAACAGUCAAACUGCUAUGAUGGCCCAAACUGAAACAUAAGCCCUGCAAAUCCGUCUCUCAAAAUUCUACUCUAAAAACUGAAAUGGUCAUGUCUCCUUUAUGGCACUGUAGUGUCACCAAAUAGUGUCAAAGACAUACAUUGGGGGUAUUGUUUUACUCAGAAGACUUAGCUGAGCAUAAUUAGGGGUGUUUGAUCAUAGUGGAACAUAUCAAAUAUACAAAAUGCCCAGCACAAAUGUAAUGCUUAAGGAAAAAAUGUGAAAAUAUUUUUUUACCACAAACUUUGACAUAUAAUGGCGAAAAAAUGGCGACAUAUUAAGGCACAAUAUAUGCCAUAUGAGAUACCCUGGAGUGUCUACUUUCACAAAUGGUAGGCCUUUUUGCGGUUUUUGAAACUGUCAAACUGCUAUAAUGGCCCAAACUGAAACAUAAGCCCUGCAAAUCCGUCUCUCAAAAUUCUACUCUAAAAACUGAAAUGGUCAUGUCUCCUUUAUGGCACUGUAGCGUCACCAAAUAGUGUCAAAGACAUACAUUGGGGGUAUUGUUUUACUCAGAAGACUUAGCUGAGCAUAAUUAGGGGUGUUUGAUCAUAGUGGAACAUAUCAAAUAUACAAAAUGCUCAGCACAAAUGUAAUGCUUAAGGAAAAAAUGCAAAAAAUAUUUUUUUACCACAAACGUUGACAUAUAAUGGCGAAAAAAUGCCGACAUGUAAAGGCACAAUAUAUGCCAUAUGAGAUACCCUGGAGUGUCUACUUUCACAAAUGGUAGGCCUUUUUGCGGUUUUUGAAACAGUCAAACUGCUAUGAUGGCCCAAACUGAAACAUAUGCCCUGCAAAUCCGUCUCUCAAAAUUCUACUCUAAAAACUGAAAUGGCCAGAUCUCCUUUAUGGCACUGUAGUGACACCAAAUAGUGUCAAAGACAUACAUUGGGGGUAUUGUUUUACUCAGAAGACUUAGCUGAGCAUAAUUAGGGGUGUUUGAUCAUAGUGGAACAUAUCAAAUAUACAAAAUGCCCAGCACAAAUGUAAUGCUUAAGGAAAAAUGCGAAAAAUAUUUUUUUAACACAAAUUUUGACAUAUAAUGGUGAAUAAAUGGUGAACCGUUAAGGCAAAAUAUAUGCCAUAUGAGAUACCAUGGAGUGUCUACUUUCACGAAUGGAAGGCCUUUGUGUGGUCAUUUGAACAACCAAACUACUAUAAUGCCCCAAAAUAAGACAUAGGUCCAUUAAAUCCAUCUUUGAAUUUUCUAACUGUAGAAACUGAAAUAGUCUGGCCUCUAUUUCAUUGUAGCUUCCCAAAAUAGUGGCAUACAAGACAAGACAUACAAUGGGGGUAUUGUUGUACUCAGCAGAUGUUGCUGAACACAAAAUGGGAUUUUGACCAGGAAUAGCACACAGCAGCUUUACAAAAUACACAUUUAAAAAACCUUGUUACAUGUGUGUAUUUCAAAAUACAGAAAAAACACAAUUUUACUACAAUAUGUAGCAGAGAUUGGUGGGAAAAAGGCUAUGUAAAAAGUGUCAAAAUACCCUUAAAUAAAUAGCCUGUGAUGUCUUCUUUAUUUAAAUAUAUACUUUUGUGUAGCAAUUUUGUUUUCUGUGACAGCUGUCAAACUUACAAGUCAAACAUACCAACUUCUAAAAAAUUUUCCCAUUUAAAUUUUAUAUUACUCCUUGUAUUUUGUGACCUGUAACUUUUAAAAUAAGCUGAAAUCCUUUACAUAUUAUGCACUUUGAAAAACAAGAAACCUAAAUGAAUUUAUUUUGAAUUACUUUUCCUAAGCUGGACAUAUUAUACACACACUAUUAUUGCCAAAACUGUGAAAAAUAUAUAUUUUUUCUUUUUUUUUCUUUUUUUAAUGUUUUUUAAUAAUAAAUUAGGUUUUAUAUAUGUAUAAGUCACAUCAAAGUAAAGCCCAUCUUGUCCUUUAAAAAACAAUAUAUAAUAUGUGUUGAUUCAAUAAAUGAGAGCGAUGCAAAUUGCAGUUGAACACAAACAGCAAAAAAUGCAAAAAUAGCUUGAGUCCUUAAGGGUAUGUCCAGCUUCUGAAGCUGCGUCCUUAAGGGGUUAAUAUAUGGCUAUUUAUUACUGACCCAGAUCNNNNNNNNNNNNNNNNNNNNNNNNNNNNNNNNNNNNNNNNNNNNNNNNNNNNNNNNNNNNNNNNNNNNNNNNNNNNNNNNNNNNNNNNNNNNNNNNNNNNGAUUUGUGUAGAAAUAGUUAAUUUUUUUUAAAAAUGGUAAAUGUACAGAGUAUUGGUAAGCUAUCAGCCUGAAAGUUCAGAUUAUAGGUAUCGGCUUUAAAAAAAUCUAUAUUGGUAGAUCCCUAGAGAUCACUACCAGCAAGAAAAUUAUGAAAAGUUUGAGUCAACUUGAAGAACUUUGUUUUAGCAUCAGUUAGAUUUAAAGAAAACAUCCAUACAGUUAUAGAUGGCUGCUCAGACACGGGAUAAAUAAUACCAUAUGUAAUACAGAGAAGUGCCAGUUUAGGUCAGGUUUGGGAUCUUUUAAUUAAUGUAUCACUAUUAUUAAAACGCCAUAACCACUAGAGCAAACUUUGCUUCCCCAGCCCAUUCUUUCUUUAGCCACAAUGAUAAUGUGGAUACUAUGCCUUUUCAUUAUCAAGUGCUCUUUUAUUAUUAUUAUUAUUAUUAUUAUUAUUAUUAGUUUUUAUAUAGCGCCAGUUUAUUCUGCAGUACUUUACAUUAAAAGGGGGAUUUAACAAAUGAGACGAUAAAAUGUUACAGGAACAAUAGAUGAUGACCCUACUCAAACAAGCUUGCGUCCAAUAUGGACUGCAAAGCUUUGCAUUUAAUAAUGCGAUAGCAUAAUUUUCACAUUAUUUAUGUAGCUGAAAAAAGGGUCUGGCAACGAGAAUGGAGACAAGCACUUGCUAUUGACAAUCUGUUUUACAACAUGAUAAAACAAUUAGGGAAUUCAACCACCACUACUGGUCUAAAAAUUAGGGUGUUCACCCAGACACUUGUAGCACUAUAACGAGCUGUUAGUGCUUAUAGUAUCAUUUUUAUAUAUGGCAAGAAAUGUUUAAAUAUUUGUCAAACACAGUUCCUCCAUAAAAAGAAAAUGUAUUAUUUACAUUGGCAUCCCCAAUUUUGUUUAAGUAAACUCCACUUCUCACUGUCGACGCUGGACGUCCAUAGGAAAGCAUUGAGUAAUGCUUUCCUAUGGGCGGUUAGAAUGCGCGUGCGGCUCUUGCUGCGCAUGUGCAUUCGGAUAUGACGUCGGCAGGGGGAGGAGAGUUCCCCAGCGCCGAGGGAGCCAGACGCUGGAGAAAGGGAAGUGGCUGAAGAGGUUUUAAUCCCUUCAGCCCACCAGGAGGAGGGCCAUGAGGGUGGGGGGGACCUAAUGACCCUAUAGUGCCAGGAAAACGAGUUUGUUUUUCUUGCACUAUAGUGGUACUUUAACAAAAACAUUUCGUUUAACAUUUCGUUUGAAUUUCUGAACAGUAAAUAUUGAAAAUGUCUUUAUAUUCUCUGGGGAGUGAUUUACAUACAGCGUAUUUUGUUUCCUUUUUAUUCAAUGAAAAUGGCUACGUUUUCUUUCCUUUUGCUUCUCAUUUCAGUGGAAUCAUAAGCAGGAAUAAAUCGGAAUUUAAGAAAUAUUUUUUCAAGUAUAUAGCAGCUAUUCCCUUG